UGGAAUUAGGUAUUACUUUUACGGACUUGUCUCUGUUGUAUCAGGGAAGGCUUUUACUGUAAAGCUCAGGGCUUUGCUUUGAAUUUUACUGAAAUAUUUUCAAGGGAAUGGGUGACUACGAUGACUUCGGUCCCCUAAGAAAAACUAAUGCCUGUUUUUUUGAUUUCAGUGUAAGAUGCAUCAAGUACACUCCUGUCUAUUCGGUGGCUUCACAAAAGAUCUGCUGCUCAAUAUGAAGACUUGAUGCUACUUCACAAGGUAAAAAUAAGUCUGAAAAAUUGAACAUAAGUGUUUGAGGACUUGCUGUUUGUCUAGAGCACACUUAUUUGAAUGACAAGCAGGCAAACUGUAUUCCCUAUGCUAAGCUUUCCCUCUUGUGCCACAAUGAUGACUCGAUAAUAGUUUGCUACUCUUGACCAAGACAAUGAUGAGAGCUCAUACCACCAUGAUUUCUAUCUGAGGCACAACAGCUUAGAAUUCACUUUGUUUAGACUUUAGAUAAACUUCUCAUAAGCUUUUUUUUCCUUUCAGGACUUGAAUCGUGCACUUAGAGAAAAAACAUCACCUGGCACUGGGAGAAGCUGCUACAAGCUAUGCAAGUGUGCCCUGGACAGCGGCAGGAUGCCUGUGCCUGAUGUGAGAAGCUUUCACCUGUCAGUGAUGUUGGCAAAAACAAGACUUCUCUAACUGAAGACUCCCAAAUUGUUUCUUGUCAUGAUUGCUGUUGUGGUAGAGCUGUGAGGUGGUACCAGCUCGUAGUGAUCCAGGCAAAAUUCUGAGAGUGGAAGAAGUGCCAGAUACUCUGUGACAGAUGUUUGAGUGAAGCUGAGAAGGAAGGAGUAUGUGAGAACCAAGAUUUUGCUUCUUUGAGGUAAGUGUAAAAUAGAACAUUUUAUUGAUCAUGGUGGUCCAGUAAUUUCUGGAAUAUUUCCAUUAUGUUAGGUACAUAACAUCAGUACAUAAUCAGUUAUGCUGCUUUUAUUGUGAGUCUUCCACUCCCAGCUAUUGUGGGAAUAUAAAUGAUGUGCAUGGAGCAAGAAUGAACUUCUAUAGGAGUUUUUCUGGCAGCUUUGGUAUCCUGACAAUUCCUAAACUAUAGUCACUGGCAAACUUAAUGUAGAGUUCACAUCUCUUGUUCAUACAAACUGGCCUCCAUGACUAAAACUUUUUAUUCUUUUGUAUUCACACAAUAGAAAUAGUAAAAAAUGAAUUGGUGGAAACUGCUUAAACAUGUAAAAUGUUGAUAAUACAGCAGAGUGCUGUACAGUGGCAACCAUACAACUCCUAUCCUAACUCUUACCUGAUGCAUCUGGCUGUUUUAUGAACUGACAGUGUAACACUGUAGCACUCCUGAAUUUAAAGAAAAAAACACAAUGUGAUAUCCUGUAGUUGGCAAAAAUCACUUGAGUAGUGGCAGUUGUGGUUUUGUUAAGUGUACACAUUCCGGUUCAAGUUGAAGUUGUAGACUGUACUUCUCCACUAGACCCAUUCUCACCUACAGUAAGUUACCUAUUUAAGCUCAUCUCAAAAACCUGUCCUUUAUGGCACUCGUAUUUUAGGUAUCAUAACUCAUUCCAACAGAAUCUCUGUCUGGGGAGGGGCAGUAUCAUAAGUAUAGCCAACCUUUUUUUGUGGUUCUUCUGAUGUUCUGUAUGGCCAAUUUAAGAUUUAAGUUUUUAUAUUUUAUUUGAAUGUUACAUGUUGAAGUUGUCAGUUGGCCAAAAUGCAGCCUUGUUAUGGGUUAAGAUUAAUUUGUAUGUAAAGUUGCAUAUAGUGAUACCUUAUUCUGAAACCAUUUUCUCUCUUCCUUAGGAAAGAACUGUUGUCUGCUGCCUCACUGGGUAAGAUCACACAGCGAAUUCUUCCUUAAAUUUAGGGAAUUCUUGUAGCCACUGAUGAAACUUGAUUCUGCCAGAUGAGUUACUGUGAUAUUACCACUUCCGUUCCAUUCUUUCUGAGGCUACACAACUGCUGAGAGGAACUUCUAAUAGUUGGGCCACUGCUUGUUAACUGCGUUUUCUUUCUUUAGGUGAGGAGGCAACUUUGAAACUAACAUGAGAAAGGUGAGUGUAACUGUAGUAAUAAAACUUAGUUGCUGGAACAAAUGAUGAUUACAACCUUAGCUUGAACUCUCUCACUGAACAGAGAUGAAAAUCUAAGGUCUGAGCUGUUCCAGUCAGCUUCUUGUGCUGGUUUGGUGCCUUAUCACAGUUCUUAUGCUGUACUUAAUAGGUGGAAGAUUCCAGAAUAAUGGCUUACACUUGCAAGAACAGCAUUAGAAAGCCAAGACUUUGCAAUGGCAACAUUUGCCUCAUACACCGAUUGGAACCAAUAAAAUUUUGUAAACUCUGCCUGUUGUUGUGAACUGCUUUCUGACUUAAAGAGCUUGCUGUAAACUAGCUCUAGGCUAUUUUGUAAAAGCUUCAAAUGCUUGACUUAAGGGCAGGGACCAAACUAGUUUUAGGUAAUGCUAGUCCUGCAAGUGUCCUUUAGUGUAGAGGGUGUGCAGCUAUUGCCAGUGUUAGAGCAGACUGAAGUUAACAUGAGCACUGUACAAUUAGUGUGUUAUAGGUGGGAGCUAAACAUGAUUUGCAUAUUUGGUUCUAAACUGGUAUGUCUGGUAGUACAUGACUUAAUUAUGCUAAUUUCAGCAGUU